UAAUUUUGGUGUGAGGAGUAGGUGUGGGUGUCCUGUUCCCCUAUCUUAAGGCAAACCCUCGCUCGUAAUCGCAAUCGCAAUCGCAAACGCAAGUUUGGCAUGGCAGCCUCAUCUUCAUCUCUCUCUUCCUCAACCGACUCUUCUUCUCACCGUCGUAAGCGUCAGCACCGCAAUCGCCGAGACCGUGAUAAGGAAACCCUAAAGAUCCGAAAGAAGACCAAGUCCCACUCCCAAACCAAACGACGCCGCAAGCACCACCACCGCUCUUCCGAUUCCGAUUCCGAUUCCGAUUCAUAUUCUUCAUCUUCCAUCUCUGAUUGCUCCAGAAGUCAGAGUAGUUCUGAUAGUGAGCAUGAAACAUCUCAUCGAUCAAAGAGGCACAAAAAGAGCAUCAGACCCAAGAAGAAUAAGGAAAAAGAUAGAAGUAAAAGUCACCACCAUAAGCGGCCAAAACAUAAAGUAAAAGAGUUUUUUCUUUCCAGACACAUAAGUUUUGUUCAUUCGAGUCUGAGAUGCUUAUGAUACUUUCUGCCUAUUUUAUGAUUUGCUCUUUGAAAUUGGAGCUGGGAUCUGUGACAUGUUUGGGGGCGCUUGAUUGACUUGCUUGGAUGUUGUUUCUUGAUCGGGGUUGUCCUGGCAAUGGGAGCUUUAUAUAGAAGCAUCAUGAUGAGAGGAGGAGCAGCCCUGUGCAGCUUUCCAAGUUUUUAGGGCGUGACAAAGAUGAUGGUGUCCGUCGCAGUGCUGUAUCCGGCAAGAAGAUUCUUCUGAAACUUGAAAAAACAAAGGAAGAUAAGGUAGCUGAAAGCAAGAGAAAUGAACUGCUGAACUUUUUAAAUGCUAGUUUUGAUUAGCAUUGAGAAGAUAUGGAUUUGUUAGGGGGUACAACUAAGUCAGCGAGGAGCCAAGUUUACUUGGGUGCCUAAAUUAUUUCUCCAUUAUAAGAAUCAGAUAGUCUACCAUUUUUAUUUUUAUUUUUAUUUUAAGGUCUGGGGGGAUAAAUUAUAAUUGUGCUUACCAUUGAAAGACUGAGAUUGAGUUUGUUCAACAUGUAUGGUUCACGAUCAGUGGAUUCCUCUUUUCUGGAAUUGGCAGUGGGAUUUUAUAGGAUAAUGUGUUUUUGACCCAGUGGAUUCUUCACAUGGUAUUUUUAGUUUAGGCAAUUGUUGUGCUAAGUGCCACGACCUCUCUCUCUC